AUCAAAUGAUGAUAUCAAGAUGGUUUCGCAAUUUUUAUGAAAAUAAUGAUUAUACCAUCUCUUGGCUGUCUGAUGAU